CGCUGGCGGCGCGCUUAACACAUGCAAGUCGAACGUGAAGCCCGGGCUUGCCCGGGUGGAAAGUGGCGAACGGGUGCGUAACACGUGAGGAACGUGCCCCGAAGACCGGGAUAACUCGAGGAAACUCGUGCUAAUACCGGAUGUCCUCAUCGGAUCGCAUGGUCUGGUGAGGAAAUGGAUUCCGCUUCGGGAUCGCCUCGCGGCCUAUCAGCUUGUUGGUGGGGUAACGGCCUACCAAGGCAACGACGGGUAGCUGGUCUGAGAGGAUGUCCAGCCACACUGGGACUGAGACACGGCCCAGACUCCUACGGGAGGCAGCAGUGGGGAAUCUUGCACAAUGGGCGAAAGCCUGAUGCAGCGACGCCGCGUGCGGGAUGAAGGCCCUCGGGUCGUAAACCGCUUUCAGCAGGGACGAUAGUGACGGUACCUGCAGAAGAAGCCCCGGCCAACUACGUGCCAGCAGCCGCGGUAAUACGUAAGGGGCAAGCGUUGUCCGGAUUUAUUGGGCGUAAAGAGCUCGUAGGCGGUUCGAUAAGUCGGGUGUGAAAUCUCCAGGCUCAACCUGGAGGCGCCACUCGAUACUGUCGUGACUUGAGUUCGGUAGAGGAGUAUGGAAUUCCCGGUGU
rnacentral:rRNA from 1 species